UGUCACAAAGGAGCCGCCGGGGCUAGAGGGGCCUUCAGGAGCGCUGGGCGUGGGGGAGGCGGGAGAGGCGCGGGCGACGGCGAGGGACGCUGAGGCAGCGCCGUGCAGCCCCCUCCCCCUCCUGGCUGGGCGCGAACCGCCCCUUUCGUAGCAAGGUGGUCUGCACCUGGGUCUCCCGGAACCCCGAGGACUCCGGCCCGGCAUUCCCGGCCCAGCCACCACCACCCCCCGCCCGCCCGCGCUCCCGGCCUCCCUGGGCUGUGGGUCCACCCCUCCUGGGCCCUGGCGGGGUGGGGGAAGGUCACUUUGGGACGCCGGACGCGCGAGGACUCUGCCCAGCUCCGCCCCGCCUCCCGCUCCUGCACCUGCCGCCCCCUCGCACUCCCCGCCACUGCGGUUGCAGUUCCGGCCCUUCCCUCUCCUUGCAGGCCGGCCCAGCCGGCAGCCCCGGUUCCUGACUGCCCGGCUGUGCUCCUUGUGGGCGGCCUGAACCACCUCGAGCUGGACAAUGGCCAAACCCACCCAGGGCGCUAGCACGGAGCCAGGGCUCGGGAGGGGUAGCCCUCCGUGAGCUGUCCCAUCGAAACCGGUUGCAACUUUCGCCACUCUAGACCCCAGGCGACAAUGUCUGCACGUGACCCAGCCACCGAGGACUUUCUUUGAUGCCAGGUCGGCGACGGGUAUUCUCGUUGGCAUGCUUUUAUGCCCCCUUGGGUGUAUCGAUUCCUUUGUUCUGCUGUAAAAUUCUUGGAGCCAAAGGACCUUUGGGAAAGCCUAGCUCACAGGACAAAAUCUUCCCACCCUUUAUCUGCUGUUGCUGAAAAGCCAAACUCUUGGUUUCAUCCCCUUCCUAUGAACCCCGGAGCAGCUUUAUACAUCCCUCUCAGGGCAGUGACACAGCAGAAAACACCCUGAUGCUUCUGCUUCCACUGCAGAGAAGCCCCAUCCCCAGGGGCCACCAUGGCCCAUCUUGACGUCCCAGCCCCAUAUCAGAGAAUUUCCCAAUACCAGGAUGCUUGUCCGGGCCACCCCUCUGUCCCCAAGGUCAACCUCGCAGGCCUAAAGACAAGCCCGAACUAAUGAAGAAUGAGCAUUUUCCUACUAAUCCUUCUCCAGGCUCGCCUGCAGGACCUGUGCAAACCUCAACAUUCCUGAAAUUCAGGGGAGAAGCAGCCACCUAUCCACCCAGCCUCAGUGGGGGAGGCCGCAGGGCUCUGUCAAGGGCAACCGCGAGAGAGAACAGCUUAUUGAGAAAAGAAGCCACCUCUUGCUUAGCCCCUAUAAUGUUUACGUUGGAAAAGCCCCAGCUUGGUGGUAUGAGAGCUGCAGGAAGAGGCUGCACCUGCAGAUAUGAUGCCCUGGUCCCCUUCAGGCAGAAGUUACCUUAUGGAGGAGUUUCCAGCAGGACAGGUUGCUGCGAAGGGUACCCUGGUUCUGAGGAGAUCAGAGUUCAGUGGAGCUGAUGUUUAUGUAUGAUCUGGACACUCUCAUCUUGCCAACUACUGUUACCACAAGGCUAUGCCUUAAUGGCUUUUUUGAGCCAACGCCUCUCUAACAGUGACAUCAGGCUCUUAUAGGGUAAAUUUGCUUCUGUGGCCUGAGUCCAGAACACACCCUAGUCUUCUCCGAAGAGAAGCAGAGUCAGGGAAGGAAGAGAUUUUGUAAUGUGGACAGUGUUCAGUGUUCAUCGCUGAGGAAUUGAGCGUCAGUUUGCAUUCGUCAUGGGCUGAGGACCCCGCAGCUGUUGGAAGGCCAGCAGCAGUGUAAAGCCCAGGAGCAAGAGGUGUGAAUGAAGAACCCUUGAGAUUGACCCCAGCUGUAGCCACUCACCAGACUUGCCUCAAUCUCGUGGGAGACCGCGAGUCAGACUAGCUCAGCUCAGCUGCUCCCAAAUUCCUGGCCCACAAAACCUGCAAGAGCUAAUAAACAACAUUGCUUUGCUGGAACCAUGAGGAGGGGCUUUUUCUAAUACUGAUAGUCUGGAAAUCAACUGGCAUCAUAAUUCUAACAAGGGUAAAUGGCUAAUAGCUAAUGUAACGGGCUGGCUGGUCAAAGGCUGUGUAAUGCUCGAGGCAAAGCCAACUCUAGCCUUGAUGUCUCAUGAGGUUUGUAGAACUUCUGACUCUAGGAUUGGACUCAGGAUCAAUGUGCAACUCAGGCCUGAGAGAAGAUCAGGUUCACUGAAUUGUGGUUAAAGUUAGUAUAUCUCAUCACAGAAGCCAUUUGACCUAGAUGAUUGUAAUUCCUUAUUCUCCAGAUUUUAUCUUUAUGGUCAUAUUUUGGGAAUAACUUAACUAACUUGUUGCCUUAUAUUGUUAUAUAAACAGUUAUGUUUUUAGAAAAUAUUGAAAUUUUAAUUUAUUUCUUAAUUGACAAAAUGAUAUCCGUAUAUUUUUGGGAUACAACAUGAUGUUUUGGUACAUAUACACAUUGUGAAAUGGUUAAAUCAAGCAAUUUAACAUAUCCAUCACCUCACAUACUUUUUUUGUGUGUGUUGGAAACAAUUAAAAUCUACUCUAUUGACAAUUUUCACAUAUAUACUAUAUUGUUUUUAACUAUAGUCACCAUGGCGUAUGGUAGAUCUCUUGAACUUAUUUCUUCUCUCUAACUGAAAUUCUGUAUCCUUUGGCCAACAUCUCCCCAAUUCCACAGUCCCCCUGCCUCUGGUAACCACUGUUUUACCUUCUGCUUCUUUGAGUUCAACUUUUUAGGUUCCACAUAUAGGUAAGAUCAUGUAGCAUUUGUCUUUCUAUACCUGGCUUAUUUCACUUAACAUAAA